rnacentral:rRNA from 1 species
ACGGAAGGCAGCAGUGGGGGAUAUUGCACAAUGGGGGAAACCCUGAUGCAGCGACGCCGCGUGAGUGAUGAAGUAUUUCGGUAUGUAAAGCUCUAUCAGCAGGGAAGAUAAUGACGGUACCUGACUAAGAAGCACCGGCUAAAUACGUGCCAGCAGCCGCGGUAAUACGUAUGGUGCAAGCGUUAUCCGGAUUUACUGGGUGUAAAGGGAGUGUAGACGGCAUGGCAAGCCAGAUGUGAAAGGCAGGGGCUCAACCCCUGGACUGCAUUUGGAACUGUCAAGCUAGAGUAUCGGAGAGGUAAGUGGAAUUCCUAGUGUAGCGGUGAAAUGCGUAGAUAUUAGGAGGAACACCAGUGGCGAAGGCGGCUUACUGGACGAUAACUGACGUUGAGGCUCGAAAGCGUGGGGAGCAAACAGGAUUAGAUACCCUGGUA